GGCGGACGGGGCUCUGCUCCGCAGCCCGGUUCUUCCUCGGGCAUCAGCGCCGGAGUCGGCGGGACGGGAGAAGAGGAGCUGCAACGAAAGCGGAGAGCGGAGUCGGACGGCACCGGGUCGAGGGGGAGAACGAGGAGGAGAAGCGGGACCGCGCAUCGCGGCACAGGGAGCUCUCGGCUCCUCCGCUGUCCGGGCUCCUCUCCCGGCUCGCUUCUCGCUGCCAGGAGAACCUGGCGCCGGGCCGCCUACAGACACGGCCGUACCUCGCCGUGAGCGGAAGGCGCGUCCUCUUUUCCCCGACGCUCGCCGCCCGGCUCGGGGCUUUCCCGGAGCUCGGAGCUCCGCCGGGCACGGCGAAGGGCCAACCGGACCCUGGGGCGCAUCAGGCCCAGCGCUGCCCAGGAAAGGACUGACCCGCUCUGCUCUGCUGCGCCCGCUGCGGCCCGUGAGAAUGUUCGACGCCGCUUCCUCAAGCGGUUGCAUUCUCCUUGGGAUCUGUGCCCGGCGGUGCCCACAGCCUGCCCUGCUGCGCGGUGAGAAGGCAAGUCCCAGCCUGGGCUCAGACGGCGGCAGGCCCUCGUUGCUCUUGGUUCCCGAGGCUUCCGAGGUAACGCUUCGGCAUCCCCCACUUCGCCAGGCGCCGCUCCCUGCAUCCCCUUGACCUGCUCUGGCAAUCCCUGUGCCUGGUGUCUUGUGGAAUGGGGCAAUGACACACGGGUUUGGUACACACUUCUGAAAACACGUCCAAAACCCCUUUGUAGGGGUCUGAGGCGGCUCCGUCCUGUCAGAGCUGGGAGGAUCCGUCUGGAGAGACAGCAACUCCUUCUGCAGCUGGAAGAAGCUGCCAAGCUGCCAGAGUCCACCUCUUCCUCCAGGACGGAUCUGUUUGUCUCAGCAGUAGCUGCUGAAAUGCACAGUGCAGAGCUAUGUGGGAACAUGCACACGUGUGGAGACAGAGACUUUCUGACAUUAAUGAGUAAAUAAUCGGCACUGCUUUCACAGGAGAGGUGAUUGAAGCGUAACAAAGUUAGAUAACGUGGAGAAACUUCACCAGUACGAGUGUGAGGAGCCUUGCCUGGUGCGUUCAGCCUGGUGCAUGGCAGUGUUGAGGAGAACUGCCAUCCCCACUUUGUGUCUGUGGAGUGGAAAUCCAUUUUAGCAGAGCUGGAGAAGUAGCUAGCAGUCGUGCUGUGACAAUUUCAAUUAAAGCCUCAAGCAUAACUGGAUGGGAACUGCCGAGUCCCAGCCUGAACUGCUGGUUGAGCACCUGGGAAAGGACUGGGUCAGCCCUGGGAGCACAGGUGAAGGCAAUUCAGUGUAUGAUAGGAAGAGGUGGAGCCCAGCUGCACCUCUCUUAGACCUCAUUGAAGGGCUGACUGCCAUGGGGGAAGGGUUUCUGGUUGGAGAUCUGUUUUUUGUGGAGGUUUUCUGCAGGCCUGGAUCUUGGAAGAUGGUGUUUUUCAUUCUCCAUUUGUUAAGUCUGAGCCUUCUGAACCGGUCCUCUGGUCUCCACUCUUCCCAUUUGCAUUUCCUGAAGAUUUUGGAACUGCUGGAAUCGCAUUUAUUUUGGGGGAAAAGUAGCUGCAUUGGGCAAAACUGGGAGUGAGUUUUCUGAGAACUAUGCCAUCGUGACCAGAAGUUCUACUAAAUUACUGAGGAUAUUGACAAACUUCUUUGUAGAAGUAAUACACCUCCUCUGGAGACCUGGACUGAGAACCUGAGGAACUGUGUACAAAGCAGCAUGGGAUUAUUUGAUGUGGCUGUAAUGGAGUAGGAUGGGGAGAAAAUAAGAUGGAAAAGCUGGUGGGUCAAGGUGAAGACGGGGCGAUCACUUAUCACUGUGGAAGUCGGUACUCAACUGCGUGUUGUCACAUCUCAUCUUGGCAGUGGCUAUCAUAUAGUGAAAGUUGUAUACAGCAUUUGCCAGCCUGAACUGAAAGCUGUGCUGCUGUCUGCAUGCAAUGGGAAGCUGCAUGAAAAAGCACCGUCUCCAAGGAUGCCUUCUGUACCUUCAUGCCAGUCAAGCAAUGCCCCCCUCUGUUGGUUCUGCUGCCCAGCAGCCAAGCCUGGCUUUGUGUCUGGGGCUGUGAAGUGUCUCAGCUGUUCCCGUCCCUGUCUGCAGUGGCACUGGUGGUGAGGUGCAGUGAGCAGAAAGUGACAGCAGCGAUGUCACCUGUGGUCUGAAGAGACUGGACACGAUUGUGAGAUGAGCACAACAGGAUAAUUUGCUGCACAAAUUACAGAUGACGUUUUGAAAAGAACAAGAACUAGGAUAAUCUAGAAGAACCAAGUGAAUGCUUGCUGAAUAUUGCGUUGGUCAAUAGAGUCCCUCUCGGUCUGCUCUGAGGCAUGAUUAAUUUUCCUGAGCAUUGGCCUUGUGCUUCAUUUGUUUUGUUUCCUCAGACCAUCGUUUAUGGUGGACAUCUGGCAGACAAGAUACAGUGCCAACUGCCUUUGGUGUUCCAUCAGGUCGGACAGGAAGCCUCCUGUAACAAGCAUGGAGAAGGCAAGGAACCAAAAAGAGGAAAGCGUGGAUGAAUUCUGAGUCCCGGCAGAGCAGAAGUUACAGCUGCAGUUCAGAGCAGGGCAGGCACUGCUUUGCACUCCUGUGCCCGAAGUCUGAGUCAGGAUGCGGGAGCACCGAUGGAUGGAUGCGCUGAGCUGAGCUGCAGAUGCUGUACAGCUGGAGAACAGCAGAAAUAUAUCGUGUCUUUUCAGACAAGACUAAGAGAGGUGAGUUUCUUCUGUUGUGAUUGUGUGAAUUUUAAUGUGAAAAGGCAGGACAAGUUGGAUGGGUCUCACUUGAAAGCAACCCAGAGCAGUUUGUCACUUGGAGCACGUGUGGGUGAGGUUCUCUCUGUACAAGGAACGAUGUUUUUGACCUGAAAGUUCAGAACCAGGCGUUGUAUAACUGUAGAGGGUGACAGCAGUGGUGGCUGUCACCUGUACUCUGGUGUGCCUCAAUGCUGCUUAUGGCAGGAAACUGUCUGCAAGAUAACACCUCUCCAAAUAAAUAGUGUCUGUAAAUGCCUUAGCACUCACUAAGAGCCAUGUCUUGGCAAUUAGCAAUUUCCAAGUGGCAAAGGUGAUUGAGGAUGUUUCGUCCCGUGAAAUAUUGUAUCUUUCAUGAGUUGUCAACCUAGCAGAAGGAGCGGGGUUAAGGCUACAGCUUUCUCCUGCAGGCUGUUGCACAGCUCCGCAUGGCCAGCAGGUUAGUAGAGGGAUUUGCUUUUUGUUGGAGCACUGUGGGGGGG